rnacentral:rRNA from 1 species
CCGACGGUGAGGGGUGAAGGCUGGGGGCGCAAACCGGAUUAGAUACCGGGUAGUCCCAGCAGUAAACGAUGCCAGCUAUGUGUUGCUGGAACCAUGGGUUCCAGCAGUGCCGAAGGGAAGCCGUGAAGCUGGCCACCUGGGAAGUACGGUCGUAAGGCUGAAACUUAAAGGAAUUGGCGGGGGAGUACCACAACCGGUGGAGCCUGCGGUUUAAUUGGAUACAACGCCGGGAAUCUUACCGGACGGGACAGCAGUAUGAAGGCCAGGCUAAAGACCUUGCCAGAUCAGCUGAGAGGAGGUGCAUGGCCGUCGCCAGUUCGUACCGUGAGGCAUCCUGUUUAGUCAGGCAACGAUCGAGACCCGCAGUCUUAUUUGCCAGCAUGCCCUUUGGGGUGUAUGGGUACAAUAAGACGACCGCCAGCGCUAAGCUGGAGGAAGGAGCGGGCUACGGUAGGUCAGCAUGCCCCGAAUCCUCCGGGAUACACGCGGGCUACAAUGGUCAGGACAAAAGGUACCGACCUC